rfam:Acyrthosiphon pisum strain LSR1 Contig39840, whole genome shotgun sequence.
CACUCCGAUAUUGUCCUGUCACAGCAGUAAUGUCACGUAUCUGAAUCGUACUGCUGUCGCGGGACAUUUUCGGAGCU